AUAUUAAAGAAAAAAUGAAAAAACCCGAGAAAGUCAAAACUUCGUAUAUCUCGGGAUUUUAACGAGACCAGUCUAACACUCGUGAAAAUCGAGAGAGGAGUUUAAAUGGAAAAAAUUUACCUGCGGUUUCCAGAUGAUCUGAAGAUCGGGAUUAUAGAAAAUAUUGUCAAUUUGAUAUUGCUAAUGACCCAGUCAUGUCUGCUGAAGCCCAGAAGUUUCCAGACCAUGACAUUAAUGAAUAUUUCUUGAAUGGAAUGCAUGAGGAUUAGAAUGGAACCUUAUUCUGCCUUUUCACCAACUCACACCAUCUUUUCAAGAUUUAUGGAGCCAACCACAGAAGAAUUUGUUCUAUACACAUCAUUCAUAACAUUCUUAUUUAUGUUGCUUAACUUUAAAUGUUACUGGAUGAAUUGUGUUCACAUAAUGGAUACAUGUACCAGCAAACUUUUUAUCGAGUGCACUUAAUUUGUAUUUUUCCUACCCAUCCAUCUAACAUAUGUUUUUAUAUAACAUAUUCAUAUACAUGUAACAUUUUUGGAAACAGCUAUUUUUUUUAAAUUGGAAUUUAGCCUUACUAUUUUAUACAAGUUUUUUUUAAAGGGACUUGGACACGAUUUUAGAUCAAAAUUUUGUUUUCAAUUUCUUGAUGCAUAAAAUGAUUUACUUGCACAUUUUGAAUAAUUGACCAUAAUUUGAAUGUUAGAAGUCAAGUUAUAAGUCAAGUCAAGUUAUAUAGAGAUACAGGGGUAAGAAUUUAUUGUUAUGUAAAAAGCUCGAGUCUUAUGUUUGUUUACAAAUAAUAUAAAGUAUGAAAUUACCAAUUCUUUGAGAAAAUGAUUCAUAGAAAAGAAGGUAAACUGAUUCGAUGUAAUCAUAAAUGAUAUUAUUAAUAGAAAAAAGCAACAUUUGAAUUAAACUUACACCAAUAAAACACAUAUGUAAAUAAUAACAAGACUCGCGCUUUGUUUAAAAAACAAAAAAUAUUUAAUUUUUCAUCUGUCUUUUAACUCACUAUUUGACUUUCAAAUUUUGACAAAGCAUUAAAAAUACCCAUAUCAACCAUUCUAAAUAUUGAAAAUGGAAACAUAAAAUUUUGAAUUUUAAGCUCAAAUCGUGUCUAAGUCCCUUGAAUAUACUCUUUUGUAUACAAACAGAACAAAAAAUACUUAGUUACAAUGGGAAAUAGACAUAAUAUAUAUAAAAGUGUCUGAUAAAAGUAUAGGUCUUGUUCUUGAACAGAAGAAAUUGACAGAAAAACAUUCAGUUUUAGCCAUGAAAUACAAAUAUUAAUAUUUUUUAAGAAUAUUAUUUAAUCUAAAUAAGUUAUAAAAGUUUUUUCCCCUUUGUUCCAAUGUUUGGAAACAAAUCAAAUAUAUAAUUAAAAUUGCUGUACAGUAUAUCCUAUUGAUUCCUAUAAUAUAUCACUUUAGUUUCUUGAACAGCAUGUUUAUUACUUUUUUUUCUUAAAAUGAUGUAUACAAGGUCAUUAAUUUAUUUUCAUUAUAUUCAACUAGAUACAAAUAGGCCUUCUGCAACCUUUUCAUUGUUUAAAUAGUAUGGAGUUUUAAUUACCUUUCAUAUGAAAAAUGACAUCUAAAUCUUAAAUUGCUGUACAUUAUAUCCUAUCCAUCUAAUGUAUCACUUUAUUUAUGUUGAACUUCGUGUCUAUUAGUAUUAUGAUUUUUUUUAGAAUGAUAUGUGCAAUUUCAUUUAUUUAUUUUUCAUUUUAAGAAAAUUCAUUUUAAAAAAGAUCUCUUACAACCUGUGUUUUUUUUUUAGUUUACAUAACACAGUGUAGUAAUUGAAUGUAGUUGUGUAGAUUUAUACAUGUACCUACAAGCAAUAUACAUUUAAUAUUCACCGGGUACAUGUACCAGACUACUAUAUUUGAUGAAUAAAUGUACUUCUUUCAUGCCUUUU